UCUCUGAUCAGCUUCUGCUCCAGGAAGUCCUGUGCCCCUGCACCUCGGCUCCCUAUGCCUCUUUGGGCCUAGCUUAUGCCUGCUGCUCCCGUGGAUUCUUUCUCUUUCUUGAUGGCCCUUUACUUAACUCUGUAAUUGCAUCUCCACCUCUGUAAGGCUCUGGGAGAAAAUGCUGCUCAGAACAGGAUGGUGCUGAGCAUCCCAAAAGCCCUCAUCCCUGGGGAGAUUGCCUCUGAAGAGCACAGAACAUUUCAAUCAAGGCCAGUUCAGCAAAAUGUCUCUGGCCAAUCUUCCCAGUGGAUUGAGGCCACGGACAGCCACCUCUUCGGGUCUCUGGCAAAGUCCCUUCCCAGGAGAGGAGAUGGAACAAGGCAUUUCAGCUUCAUUUACACUUAAUUCGUCAAAAUGUCAUUGUUCCACCAACUGGGGACCAAGAAAUCUAUGCGAGUCAUUCUCAUUCAACCCAUCACAUCCUGGGGCCUUGCUGAAGCUUUUGCUGACCUACUGGCCUUCCACCCCCAGCUUCAGUCUGCAAGCAAGACCUUACUUUUGAACAGGUUCACUCUGAACUGAGGCCCUCUGGGUGGCUCAUAAUUCCCUGCUUGGGGUUUGCUGUUUAUCCUGCUGGGACCCUGAAGAUGCUGCUGUCUGGGAUGCCUGACCUGGCCUCAGCAUCCUCUCUGAUUAGCUCUUAAACACCUCUUCUACCGCUCUCGCUUACAUAGAACUCUUUGUAGUCCCUGACAGUAACUACUGCUUCAACAAUCUAAGUAGUAUUUAUAGCCUCAAAGACAGGGAUUUAAAAAUGUUAUCUUAUAACCUAAGUUUGGCACAUAGAAAGGAUUAAAGUCUUAUUAGAGUCAUAGAAGUCUUAUCUUGGAGACGGUUGUCCUGAGAAAUGAGCUGUUAGGUGAUUUCUGUCAUGGUGUAAACAUCAUAGAGUUCAUAAAGACACCUAUGACGUCACUGGGCCAUAUAAUCUUAUGAGACUGCCAUCAUAUGGAACAUGCAAACUAAGACAGCUGUGAUGUCACCAGACAGUAUAACCUCAUGAGGCCAUCGUCACAGAAGAAAACACCUCUCUCUAUGUAGCACAUGGUUAUCAUUCCAUGAGGAAAGGGAUCUGGGCUUGAAUCCCAGCACUAUCUAAUAUAGUGUAACUUAACAAGCCAUUCAGCUUGAGUCCUUCAGACUGCUCAUAUGAGAAGUGCAGACAGCAAUGGUCCAAGGAGAUCGGAGAUCCUACAUGGAGGGCCCGUGACCAUCAGUCAAGAUGGAAGGCCAUGGAGGCUGCUGUUGCCCUUGAAAUCACAGAGAGGAAAUGAGAGCUCAAGCCUCCAAAGGACCAAGACAUGUACUGUCUGCAUUCCGUCGUCUUUAUCUGUCCUGGCCAUUAAAACUCAAUGUAGAAACAUG
rnacentral:lncRNA from 1 species